CCUGCCUGCCCUGUGACUAUAGUUUAACGGCCGCGGUAUUUUGACCGUGCAAAGGUAGCGCAAUCACUUGUCUUUUAAAUGAAGACCUGUAUGAAUGGCAAGACGAGGGCUAAGCUGUCUCCUCUCCCAAGUCAGUGAAAUUGAUCUCCCCGUGCAGAAGCGGGGAUAAUAACAUAAGACGAGAAGACCCUAUGGAGCUUUAGACACUAGACAGCCCACGUUAAGAAAGCUUCCCAACAGUAUAAACUUGCUGGCAACUGAUUUACUUGUCUUCGGUUGGGGCGACCGCGGGGGAAAAAUUAGCCCCCAUGUGGAACGGGAGUAUACUCCUACAGCCAAGAACUACCGUUCUAAGCAACAGAAAUUCUGACCAAAAAUGAUCCGGCAACGCCGAUCAACGGACCCAGUUACCCUAGGGAUAACAGCGCAAUCCUCUCCCAGAGUCCCUAUCGACGAGGGGGUUUACGACCUCGAUGUUGGAUCAGGACAUCCUAAUGGUGCAGCCGCUAUUAAGGG
rnacentral:rRNA from 1 species